UCUCCUGGAAAAGGGUGGUAAUGCCGGAUGCUCCAUCACACUGCAUGGUGUGUUGGGAAAGCCUUUGCGGCAUGGGAUGGGGUCGCGUCCUAUCAGCUUGAUGGCGGGGUAACGGCCCACCAUGGCUUCGACGGGUAGCCGGCCUGAGAGGGCGACCGGCCACAUUGGGACUGAGAUACGGCCCAGACUCCUACGGGAGGCAGCAGUGGGGAAUAUUGCACAAUGGGCGCAAGCCUGAUGCAGCGACGCCGCGUGAGGGAUGGAGGCCUUCGGGUUGUAAACCUCUUUUGUUAGGGAGCAAGGCAUUUUGUGUUGAGUGUACCUUUCGAAUAAGCACCGGCUAACUACGUGCCAGCAGCCGCGGUAAUACGUAGGGUGCAAGCGUUAUCCGGAAUUAUUGGGCGUAAAGGGCUCGUAGGCGGUUCGUCGCGUCCGGUGUGAAAGUCCAUCGCUUAACGGUGGAUCCGCGCCGGGUACGGGCGGGCUUGAGUGCGGUAGGGGAGACUGGAAUUCCCGGUGUAACGGUGGAAUGUGUAGAUAUCGGGAAAAGAACACCAAC
rnacentral:rRNA from 1 species